rnacentral:rRNA from 1 species
GACGAACGCUGGCGGCGUGCCUAAUACAUGCAAGUCGAGCGAGCUUGCCUAGAUGAAUUUGGUGCUUGCACCAAAUGAAACUAGAUACAAGCGAGCGGCGGACGGGUGAGUAACACGUGGGUAACCUGCCCAAGAGACUGGGAUAACACCUGGAAACAGAUGCUAAUACCGGAUAACAACACUAGACGCAUGUCUAGAGUUUAAAAGAUGGUUCUGCUAUCACUCUUGGAUGGACCUGCGGUGCAUUAGCUAGUUGGUAAGGUAACGGCUUACCAAGGCAAUGAUGCAUAGCCGAGUUGAGAGACUGAUCGGCCACAUUGGGACUGAGACACGGCCCAAACUCCUACGGGAGGCAGCAGUAGGGAAUCUUCCACAAUGGACGCAAGUCUGAUGGAGCAACGCCGCGUGAGUGAAGAAGGGUUUCGGCUCGUAAAGCUCUGUCGGUAGUGAAGAAAGAUAGAGGUAGUAACUGGCCUUUAUUUGACGGUAAUUACUUAGAAAGUCACGGCUAACUACGUGCCAGCAGCCGCGGUAAUACGUAGGUGGCAAGCGUUGUCCGGAUUUAUUGGGCGUAAAGCGAGUGCAGGCGGUUCAAUAAGUCUGAUGUGAAAGCCUUCGGCUCAACCGGAGAAUUGCAUCAGAAACUGUUGAACUUGAGUGCAGAAGAGGAGAGUGGAACUCCAUGUGUAGCGGUGGAAUGCGUAGAUAUAUGGAAGAACACCAGUGGCGAAGGCGGCUCUCUGGUCUGCAACUGACGCUGAGGCUCGAAAGCAUGGGUAGCGAACAGG